UUUAGGCAUCACUCUCUUAUUGAUCCACAUGAGCUUAGGAGGCCUGGUGCACAUUGUCAGGUGAGACAAUGGUACAAAGGUUGAUAUUCCAUCGACCCUGAUUUGGUAGAGCAGGUUAGAGUUAUGUUGGGUGGUAUUCAUGUAAACAUGUGUCAGUUAUUGCUCAGGUUGUUCCUCGACGUUCUCCACGUGGAAACCCAGGCGUUCAAAGGGGUCAAAAUCUUGUCUACUAACUCAGGGAUUUGAUUGGAGCGCAUGGUCGGCUGAUAGAGGGAUUCAGAUUUCUAUGCCGCAAGUCAUUCUUCUCUGAAAAUUGAGGACCAACUAGUCCCUGUCCAGUCGAACCGUAUGGAGGUUGAAUCUACACAUUUGGAAUGCAAGUUUGAGCCUCUGGUUCAUUUGCCUUGAAGGCAGCGCCGUCCUCCUGGAGAUGCAGCUCCAACCUGAUGCUGACCCCCACUCUAGGGGCCUCUGCAAUGCUGGCGACGAUAACUCCAGCCUCGACGCCAAGAGAAGCAAAUGCUGCAAAACGAU